CAGGAACGAUAAUAAGCCAGCAGAUCCGACUGGCAAAAGCCACCAGAAAAGAAAAGGUUGCAUCAGCAAGGAUAAUGACGAGGGUGCUGCGCAGAACGGCGGCAUUAGACAGUUUCAGAAUAUGUUUGGCUCAGUCAUCAGGAACAACUAUGCACAUAUGAUGAAUAUGAAAAUGAAAUUGAUUGCGCAGGGUUGCACCAAUCGUCAGCUGCUGGAAGGUAUCGAUAAACGUAUACAGGAACUAGGCAGGGAACUGAUUCUUACCGAAACCAUGUUCGGUGCGCAACCCGAGCGUAAUGCAAGGCAACAAAAACAAGGUGUGCUUCCCUGUGGCUGCAGAUGGUAGGUAAUUUGUUCAGAUAUGUUUAAUGUGCCCUCAUUGAACGCCUUUUCUUAACUACCCUUUCAAUGAGUAACCACUGAAUUUUAUUGUUUUGUUCUGCUUAAUUUGCAAUAAAGAGUUUGGAUUUUGGAGCAGUA